rnacentral:tRNA from 1 species
UCUAAGUUAGCAGAUAAAAUGUUUUUGAUUUAGGUUCAAAAGGAAGAGGUAACUCUACUUAGUA